rnacentral:rRNA from 1 species
GCGUGUGUGAAGAAGGCCUGCGGGUUGUAAAGCACUUUCAGUAGGGACGAUAAUGACGGUACCUACAGAAGAAGCACCGGCUAACUCUGUGCCAGCAGCCGCGGUAAUACAGAGGGUGCAAGCGUUAAUCGGAAUUACUGGGCGUAAAGCGCGCGUAGGCGGUUUUGUAAGUCGGGUGUGAAAUCCCUGGGCUCAACCUAGGAAUUGCAUUCGAUACUGCUUGACUAGAGUAUGGUAGAGGGUAGCGGAAUUCCAGGUGUAGCGGUGAAAUGCGU